AGUGAACGCUGGCGGUAGGCCUAACACAUGCGAGUCGAACGGCAGCACAGUAAGAGCUUGCUCUUACGGGUGGCGAGUGGCGGACGGGUGAGGAAUACAUCGGAAUCUACUUUUUCGUGGGGGAUAACGUAGGGAAACUUACGCUAAUACCGCAUACGACCUACGGGUGAAAGCAGGGGAUCUUCGGACCUUGCGCGAUUGAAUGAGCCGAUGUCGGAUUAGCUAGUUGGCGGGGUAAAGGCCCACCAAGGCGACGAUCCGUAGCUGGUCUGAGAGGAUGAUCAGCCACACUGGAACUGAGACACGGUCCAGACUCCUACGGGAGGCAGCAGUGGGGAAUAUUGGACAAUGGGCGCAAGCCUGAUCCAGCCAUACCGCGUGGGUGAAGAAGGCCUUCGGGUUGUAAAGCCCUUUUGUUGGGAAAGAAAAGCAGCAUGUUAAUACCCCGCUGUUCUGACGGUACCCAAAGAAUAAGCACCGGCUAACUUCGUG
rnacentral:rRNA from 1 species